rnacentral:rRNA from 1 species
GCUUGUCUCAAAGAUUAAGCCAUGCAUGUCUAAGUAUAAGCAAUUAUACCGCGAAACUGCGAAUGGCUCAUUAAAUCAGUUAUCGUUUAUUUGAUAGUACCUUACUACUUGGAUAACCGUGGUAAUUCUAGAGCUAAUACAUGCUAAAAAUCCCGACUCACGGAGGGAUGUGUUUAUUAGAUUAAAAACCAAUGCCCUUCGGGGCUCACUGGUGAUUCAUGAUAACCUCUCGAAUCGCAUGGCCUUGCGCCGGCGAUGGUUCAUUCAAAUUUCUGCCCUAUCAACUUUCGAUGGCUGGGUCUUGGCCAGCCAUGGUGACAACGGGUAACGGAGGGUUAGGGCUCGACCCCGGAGAAGAAGCAUGAGAAUCGGCUUCUACAUCCAAGGAAGGCAGCAGG